UACGGAGGGUGCGAGCGUUGUCCGGAAUCACUGGGCGUAAAGGGCGCGUAGGUGGCCUGUGGAAGUCUGCGGUGAAAGCCCGGCGCUCAACGCCGGGUCGGCCGUGGAUACUCUCGGGCUCGAGCUCACUAGAGGCAGAUGGAAUUCCGGGUGUAGCGGUGGAAUGCGCAGAUAUCAGGAAGAACACCCGUGGCGAAGGCGGCUCUCUGGUACGUGACUGGACGCUGAGACGCGAAAAGCGUGGGGAGCAAAGCAGG
rnacentral:rRNA from 1 species